UACGGAAGGCAGCAGUGGGGAAUAUUGCACAAUGGGCGCAAGCCUGAUGCAGCCAUGCCGCGUGUAUGAAGAAGGCCUUCGGGUUGUAAAGUACUUUCAGUCGUGAGGAAGGUGUUAAGGUUAAUAACCUUAGCAAUUGACGUUAGCGACAGAAGAAGCACCGGCUAACUCCGUGCCAGCAGCCGCGGUAAUACGGAGGGUGCGAGCGUUAAUCGGAAUUACUGGGCGUAAAGGGCACGCAGGCGGUUAAUUAAGUUGGAUGUGAAAUCCCCGGGCUUAACCUGGGAAUGGCAUUCAAGACUGGUUAGCUAGAGUCUUGUAGAGGGGGUAGAAUUCCAUGUGUAGCGGUGAAAUACGUAGAGAUGUGGAGGAAUACCGGUGGCGAAGGCGGCCCCUGGACAAAGACUGACGCUCAUGUGCGAAAGCGUGGGGAGCAAACGAGGAUUAGAUACC
rnacentral:rRNA from 1 species